AGUGAACGCUGGCGGCGUGCCUAAUACAUGCAAGUCGAACGGAGUGGCGCACGGGGGAGUAAUGUAUAGCGAAUCUGCCCUACACUAGAGGACAACAGCUGGAAACGACUGCUAAUACUCUAUAGUGUAGGAUGAGGCUAUAUUGUAUCAGCUAGUUGGUGAGGUAAUGGCUCACCAAGGCUAUGACGCAUAACUGGUCUGAGAGUAUGAUCAGUCAACCGGGAACUGAGACACGGUCCAGAGUAGUACGGGAGGCAGCAGUAGGGAAUAUUGCUCAAUGGGGGAAACCCGGAAGCAGCAACGACGCGUGGGGGAUGACACUUUUCGGAGCGUAAACUCCUUUUGUUAGGGAAGGGGUACCUAACGAAUAAGCACCGGCUAACUCCGUGCCAGCAGCCGCGGUAAUAC
rnacentral:rRNA from 1 species